rnacentral:misc_RNA from 1 species
CCGGGAUAUGUCGAAAGACAAUCUCCAUGACCCUUUUUUGUUUACAACAAAAAUGUCUUCUUCGGCAAGACGUUCAAUUUUUGACUCAAGAAUUGACCAUUGAUUCUUUUUUGUAACUAAAAGAGAAUGAAUGUGUUUUGCUUGCCGAAGGUUUUUUUAUAAAAACUCUUUUUUAUUAAUAAAGUCUGAGUAAUAAAACAAAAUAAAUUA